GACGAACGCUGGCGGCGUGCUUAACACAUGCAAGUCGAACGGAAAGGCCCUGCUUUUGUGGGGUGCUCGAGUGGCGAACGGGUGAGUAACACGUGAGUAACCUGCCCUUGACUUUGGGAUAACUUCAGGAAACUGGGGCUAAUACCGGAUAGGAGCUCCUGCUGCAUGGUGGGGGUUGGAAAGUUUCGGCGGGUGGGGAUGGACUCGCGGCUUAUCAGCUUGUUGGUGGGGUAGUGGCUUACCAAGGCUUUGACGGGUAGCCGGCCUGGGAGGGUGACCGGCCACAUUGGGACUGAGAUACGGCCCAGACUCCUACGGGAGGCAGCAGUGGGGAAUAUUGCACAAUGGGCGGGAGCCUGAUGCAGCAACGCCGCGUGCGUGAUGACGGCCUUCGGGUUGUAAACCGCUUUCGCCUGUGACGAAGCGUGAGUGACGGUAAUGGGUAAAGAAGCACCGGCUAACUACGUG
rnacentral:rRNA from 1 species